AACGAACGCUAGCGGUGCGUUUUAAGCAUGCAAGUCGAACGGUAUUUUUGUUGCUUGCGACAAAAAGAGAGUGGCGAACGGGUGAGUAACAAGUAAGUAAUUUUUCUAUAUGACUGGAAUAGCCAGUGGAAACAUUGGGUAAUGCCAGAUAUUUUGUGUAAGGGAAACUUUACAUAAAAAAGGGUAUUUUUAUGCAGCAUAUAGCGAAGCUUGCGGCUGAUUAGCUUGUUGGUAAGGUAAUGGCUUACCAAGGCGACGAUCAUUAGCCUGCCUUAGAUGGUGAUCGGCCACACUGGGACUGAGACACGGCCCAUACUCCUACUGGAGUCAGCA
rnacentral:rRNA from 1 species